CACUCCUGCGGGAGGCAGCAGUGGGGAAUAUUGGACAAUGGGCGCAAGCCUGAUCCAGCCAUGCCGCGUGAGUGAUGAAGGCCCUAGGGUUGUAAAGCUCUUUCACCGGUGAAGAUAAUGACGGUAACCGGAGAAGAAGCCCCGGCUAACUUCGUGCCAGCAGCCGCGGUAAUACGAAGGGGGCUAGCGUUGUUCGGAUUUACUGGGCGUAAAGCGCACGUAGGCGGACUAUUAAGUCAGGGGUGAAAUCCCGGGGCUCAACCCCGGAACUGCCUUUGAUACUGGUAGUCUUGAGUUCGAGAGAGGUGAGUGGAAUUCCGAGUGUAGAGGUGAAAUUCGUAGAUAUUCGGAGGAACACCAGUGGCGAAGGCGGCUCACUGGCUCGAUACUGACGCUGAGGUGCGAAAGCGUGGGGAGCAAACAGGAUUAGAAACCCCUGUAGUCC
rnacentral:rRNA from 1 species